rnacentral:rRNA from 1 species
UAGUAUCGUUUUAAUCGAUGGGGGGACGCAGUAGGAUAGGCGAAGCGUGCUGUUGGAGUGCACGUCCAAGCAGUAAGGCUGAGUGUUAGGCAAAUCCGGCACUCAUAAGGCUGAGCUGUGAUGGGGAGAGGAAAUUGUUUCCUCGAGUCGUUGAUUUCACACUGCCGAGAAAAGCCUCUAGAUAGAUAACAGGUGCCCGUACCGCAAACCGACACAGGUAGUCAAGAUGAGAAUUCUAAGGUGAGCGAGCGAACUCUCGUUAAGGAACUCGGCAAAAUGACCCCGUAACUUCGGGAGAAGGGGUGCUCUUUAGGGUUCACGCCCAGAAGAGCCGCAGUGAAUAGGCCCAAGCGACUGUUUAUCAAAAACACAGGUCUCUGCUAAACCGUAAGGUGAUGUAUAGGGGCUGACGCCUGCCCGGUGCUGGAAGGUUAAGAGGAGUGGUUAGCUUCUGCGAAGCUACGAAUCGAAGCCCCAGUAAACGGCGGCCGUAACUAUAACGGUCCUAAGGUAGCGAAAUUCCUUGUCGGGUAAGUUCCGACCCGCACGAAAGGCGUAACGAUUUGGGCACUGUCUCAACGAGAGACUCGGUGAAAUCAUAGUACCUGUGAAGAUGCAGGUUACCCGCGACAGGACGGAAAGACCCCGUGGAGCUUUACUGUAGCCUGAUAUUGAAAUUCGGCACAGCUUGUACAGGAUAGGUAGGAGCCUUUGAAACGUGAGCGCUAGCUUACGUGGAGGCGUUGGUGGGAUACUACCCUAGCUGUGUUGGCUUUCUAACCCGCACCACUUAUCGUGGUGGGAGACAGUGUCAGGCGGGCAGUUUGACUGGGGCGGUCGCCUCCUAAAAGGUAACGGAGGCGCUCAAAGG